GAUGUCCCCAUGACAACCGACGUUGGAGUUUGGAGGUGCUUGCCUUAGAGCAAGGGAAACAGCUCUGAUUCAAAGGAACUAGAAGCCUCUCCCUCAGUGGUAGGGAGAGAGCCAGGAGCGGUUUUCUGGGGAACUGUGGGAUGUGCCCUUGGGGGCCCCAGAAAACAGAAGGAAGAUGCUGCAGACCAGUAACUACAGCCUGGUGCUCUCUCUGCAGUUCCUCCUGCUGUCCUAUGACCUUUUUGUCAAUUCCUUCUCAGAACUGCUCCGAAAGGCUCCUGUCAUCCAGCUUGUGCUCUUCAUCAUCCAGGAUAUUGCAGUCCUCUUCAACAUCAUCAUCAUUUUCCUCAUGUUCUUCAACACCUUCGUCUUCCAGGCUGGCCUGGUCAACCUCCUAUUCCAUAAAUUCAAAGGGACCAUCAUCCUGACAGCUGUGUACUUUGCCCUCAGCAUCUCCCUUCAUGUCUGGAUCAUGAGAGAAGUAGAGCUCCCAGGAAAGAAAGCAACACCGGCGUCUCUGGGUGCUUCCUGAAGAGGAUUCUGUGCUCUGGUUCCUGGAGCCAAAAUAGGUCCUGGCUUUGUAC
rnacentral:sRNA from 1 species